rnacentral:rRNA from 1 species
AACGAACGCUGGCGGCAUGCCUAACACAUGCAAGUCGAACGAGACCUUCGGGUCUAGUGGCGCACGGGUGCGUAACGCGUGGGAACCUGCCCUUAGGUUCGGAAUAACUCUCCGAAAGGGGUGCUAAUACCGGAUAAUGUCUUCGGACCAAAGAUUUAUCGCCUUUGGAUGGGCCCGCGUUGGAUUAGCUAGUUGGUAGGGUAAAAGCCUACCAAGGCGACGAUCCAUAGCUGGUCUGAGAGGAUGAUCAGCCACACUGGGACUGAGACACGGCCCAGACUCCUACGGGAGGCAGCAGUGGGGAAUAUUGGAAAAUGGGCGAAAGCCUGAUCCAGCAAUGCCGCGUGAGUGAUGAAGGCCUUAGGGUUGUAAAGCUCUUUUACCCGGGAUGAUAAUGACAGUACCGGGAGAAUAAGCUCCGGCUAACUCCGUG